GACGAACGCUGGCGGCGUGCUUAACACAUGCAAGUCGAACGGAAAGGCCCUGCUUUUGUGGGGUGCUCGAGUGGCGAACGGGUGAGUAACACGUGAGUAACCUGCCCUUGACUUUGGGAUAACUUCAGGAAACUGGGGCUAAUACCGGAUAGGAGCUCCUGCUGCAUGGUGGGGGUUGGAAAGUUUCGGCGGUUGGGGAUGGACUCGCAGCUUAUCAGCUUGUUGGUGGGGUAGUGGCUUACCAAGGCUUUGACGGGUAGCCGGCCUGAGAGGGUGACCGGCCACAUUGGGACUGAGAUACGGCCCAGACUCCUACGGGAGGCAGUAGUGGGGAAUAUUGCACAAUGGGCGGAAGCCUGAUGCAGCAACGCCGCGUGCGGGAUGACGGCCUUCGGGUUGUAAACCGCUUUCGCCUGUGACGAAGCGUGAGUGACGGUAAUGGGUAAAGAAGCACCGGCUAACUACGUG
rnacentral:rRNA from 1 species